CACCCAUUCCUGGAGUUCUCCAGCUCCCUCAGCCUGGUGGGAUCUCAGGAGCUUCUGAAGGUCCCUCAGCCUGGUGGGAUCUCAGCAGGUUCUCCCAGAUCCAACCCUGGAGUCCUCCAGGUCCCUCAGCCUGGUGGGAUCUCAAAGGGGUUCUCCCAGAUCCACCCACGAGGUCUGGGAUCCACCAGGAUCCACCAAACCGUGGUGGACACCAUGGGUUCCUCUGGUGGCUUUGUCCUGAGGACCUGGAGCCAACCUGGAGUUCCCUCAGCCUGGUGGGAUCUCAGCAGGUUCUCAAGGUCCCUCAGCCUGGUGGGAUCUCAGGAGGUUCUCAAGGUCCCUCAGCCUGGUGGGAUCUCAGGAGGUUCUCAAGGUCCCUCAGCCUGGUGGGAUCUCAGGAGGUUCUCCCAGAUCCAGCCACGAGGUCUGGGAUCCACCAGAACCAUGGUGGACACCAUGGGAUCCUCCAAGGGCUUUGUCCUGAGGACCUGGAGCCAACCUGGUGGGAUCUCAGGAGCUUCUGAAGGUCCCUCAGCCUGGUGGGAUCUCAGGGGCUUCUCCAGGUCCCUCAGCCUGGUGGGAUCUCAGGGGCUUCUCCAGGUCCCUCAGCCUGGUGGGAUCUCAGGAGCUUUGCCCAGACCCAACCCUGGAGCUCCCCAGCUCCCUCAGCCUGGUUUUUUGCCCCAAAUUUGGGGUUUUUUUCCCCAAAACUUGGGGGGUUUUUCGCCCCAAAUUUGGGGUUUUUUUUACCAAAAAUUAGGAUUUUUUUUCCCCAAAUCUGGGAAUUUUUUUUUUCCCCAAAAACUGGGAAAUUUUUGUCCAAAAUUUGGGCAUUUUUUCUCCAAAAUUUGUUUUUUCCCCCAAAACUUAGGGUUUUUUUUUUUCCCCAAAAUCUGUGGGGUUUUUUUUCCCAAAAAUUUGGAUUCUUUUUGCCCAAAAUUUUGGGGUUUUUACCACAAAAUAAAGUUGGUUUAUUUUUUCCAAAAUUUCGGGGUUUUUUUUCCCCAACAUUUAGUUUUUUUUUUUCCAUAAUUUGAGGUUUUUUCCCCCAGAUCUGGGAAUUUUUUGCCGAAAAUUUGGGAUUUUUUUUUUUUUGCCCAAAAUUUGGUGGUUUUUGCCCAAAAUUCGGCGGUUUUUGCCCAAAAUUUGGGGGUUUUUUACCCGAUUUUUUUUUUUUCCCCCCAAAAUUGGAAUUUUCCUCGUUACCUUUUUGGGGGCCACGGGCGUUUUGGGCUCCGGUUUCUGCCGCUCCUUGUCCGGGGCGGGCGGCGUCGGCUCCGGGGCGGAUCACGGCCCGAGCCCCUCCCCCCUCCAGGGGCUUCAGCUCCGGCCCUGCAACCCCAGAAAUUCGGGAUUUUGGGGGGGAUGGACCCAAAAAUGGGGAUUUUGGGGGUUUGGAACAAAAAAAUUGGGAAUUUUGGGGGUUUAUGGC
rnacentral:lncRNA from 1 species